GACGGAACGCUGGCGGCGUGCCUAACGACGAUGCAAGUCGAACGGGCUCUUGAUCGAGACUUCGGGUCAAGGUGAAGUCUGAGCUUAGUGGCGGACGGGUGAGUAACGCGUGAGCAACCUGCCUUUCAGAGGGGGACAACAGUUGGAAACGACUGCUAAUACCGCAUAAUGUGUUUUGGGGGCAUCCCUGAAAUACCAAAGAUUUAUCGCUGAAAGAUGGGCUCGCGUCUGAUUAGCUAGUUAGUGGGGUAACGGCCUACCAAGGCGACGAUCAGUAGCCGGACUGAGAGGUUGAACGGCCACAUUGGGACUGAGACACGGCCCAA
rnacentral:rRNA from 1 species